AUUAGUUAGUUGGUAAGGUAACGGCUUACCAAGACGUCGAUAGGUAGGGGCCCUGAGAGGGGGAUCCCCCACACUGGUACUGAGACACGGACCAGACUCCUACGGGAGGCAGCAGUGGGGAAUAUUGGACAAUGGGGGCAACCCUGAUCCAGCCAUGCCGCGUGAGUGAUGAAGGCCCUAGGGUUGUAAAGCUCUUUCAGCGAGGAGGAUAAUGACGUUACUCGCAGAAGAAGCCCCGGCUAACUUCGUGCCAGCAGCCGCGGUAAUACGAAGGGGGCUA
rnacentral:rRNA from 1 species